UACACAAUGGUCGCCUAAGCACACAUGCGCGCGGCCGAAAUCGCUCCCGCCCACUAUUUGGGAUGCCUGGGAUUACCAUCCUACCCCCGACCCGUAGUAGGUCCGAAAUUUAAGAGGGGGGCAAAGUUUGUACUUUCCCCAAAUUUCAAACAAGCGCGUCCCAUCUUCUGUUCAAAAAAGCCAAAAACAAGUGCAUCCCAGACUGAAACAUGGUUCCCCCCACCCGUCCGAUUCCACAUUCGUACUCCGUAGGCGCCAAAACUACCUCUCCACCAGCCGCGAAACCCCGGCGUCCUCUGUCCGCCACCCCAUCCCACCCAUCAACUGCCGCCCUCCUCCAUCACGCCGGAGCCGAUACCCCGACAUCGUCGUCCACCGCAACCUCAACCGCAACGCCCUCCACGAUUAGUAGCUGAAGCCGAGGCCGAGCCGUCCGUACCCAAGCCAGUUCAACCACGCCGUCCUGCGCCUCACCGCUGCCGCUCCAACUUCGCCACCCUCCACCGCACAGGAGCUGUUCCUGCUACGUCGUCCUUCGUCGCCUCGGAUCUGCUUCCCCUCCACCGACAUACGGCCACGGCAACACAGUCAACAAUUUGGCCAUGGGUUCGUCCAAGCCUGCACCCUCCAGAACAUUGGUUUCCCCGGUAAAAAGAAGAAGAUCGGCGCGACAUGUGGAGGUGACCACGCCAGCAACCGAAAAAGGUACUCCUCUUCCCUUAUUCGUGCAAAUCUUACGUCUCUGCUUGCACGGUAUUCAUCCCACAGAAGACACUAGUUGACCGCUUCUUCUUGAUACUAGAUGUUCCUAGUAACUCGCGAUGCACAAGUUUUCUCCUCAUAUACUAUUUCACCUUAGCUAGAGGUUCGUCGCCCCCCUGAAUUUCAAUUUCUGGCCAGUUGAUUCCCAAUUAACGGAAGCAUUCCCCGGUGUAACAUGCGCUAGUACGCCUAUUACGCCGGGGAAGCAGCGCCAUGGUGUUUAUCUUAGGGGCGUGUGCGGCCUAGAGCUACUGGCACCCGGUCUGGAGGUCGGACGGGAUUAAAGGGAUGGCCUGGGGGCGCUGCCAAGCACGGCGGUGGUGUGAGGUCGAUGGGAGGGCGGGGCGGCGGAGGCAGGGGUCUGGGCCGGUGGUCGCUGGCGGUUCGAGAAAGAUCGUCAACAGUGACUGGCGGGAGGUAGACGAAGGCCAUCUGCCCGUUCCUUAUAGAUCGGACGGUUCAUUAAAAAAAUUGACUGACCUAUUUAUUUUCAGUCGACUGUUAUCUUAGAUAUGACCACAUGUGGUGUUGUGCUGGAGGAGUACCUACAUUUCCUGUGCUCAUAUAUUACAAAAUCAUAUGGAGUAGAAUCUAAUUUUGUUUGCCAUGCAAUGUUGUAGAGCUAUCAUAUGUCUCUUGUCAUUUAUUUUCAGCCACCUGCUAUCUGCUACUUUUACAGUGCACUAGUUCUGCACACACUUCACCCUUACUCUCACUGUUAUGUUUUUAUGCAAGUGUAUUUCAGACUCUGCUGGCAUGAGAGAAGCCAAAAAGAAAAGAGAGAAGUCGCUCCAGCUUCGUAUGCGGGUAGGCAAGACACGUUACAGCGCUAUAAAGGGUGCAGUGUCAGCAGAUGGAGACAAUAAACAUAGCUCUGGAGUUGAUGACCUCGCUUGCAAUGAACCACCAUCCCAGGUGCUUGCUUUAACUUCGCGCUGUCAUAUGUGGUUGCAUGUUCCAUAUGGUGUCUAGCUUGUAUUCGAAAGGCUGAAGUCGGUAAGAUAAGGAAAGAUAUUUUUUUACAUGAACCACCAUCCCGUGAGCACCAGAAGACAAAUAGCUAGUCAGGGCACUGGCCGAGCCAGUGACAAGCCCAGCAAAGAUAGGCAUCACCUGGAAGCCAACUAAAAAGCUGCGAUGGUGGCGAAGCAGCCCACCUCCCACCAGGCUCUCAAGUCCUAGAUGAUCAUGCUCACCACUCCAGCCGGAUGUCUAGCUUGUAUUGCUUCCAAUUUGGUUAAAUUGCAUCUGCUUAGCUUACACAUUAUACCUUUGAAUAUGACAUGUCUUUCUGUUUUUGGUACAUACUAGUACAUCUGUGUAUUAACCAUGUUUUUACAUCAAACUAAUGUUCUUGUGUAUCCCUCAUCAAUCACUUAUGAUGAGGCAGGCAGGCAAGGGGACUACUCCUCAUUUAAAGAAUGCAGCAUCGGCCUCCCGACAUGAUUCUCAAGAAACGGAAAUACUAGAUGAAGAUAGUGAACGUAGCUCUGUAGUUGAUUACAGCAUUUCCCCUACACUAGCAUCGCAGGUGCUUUCUCUAACUUGGCAGCGUGAUAUGUGGUUGCAUGUUGCAUAUGGUGUCUAGAUUGUAAUUCUUCCAAUCUGGUUAAACUGCAUGUGCUAGUCUGCUUAGCUUAUACAUUAUACCUGUUAAUGCAACAUGCCUUCCUGUAUUUAGUACAUAGUACAUCUCUCUAUUAAGCAUGUCCUUACAUAAAACUAUUGUUUUUUUGUAUCCCGCAUCAAUCAACAUGACGAGACACCUUUAGUAUAUGCAGUGCGAUAUUAGUUGCAUCUUUCAUAUGAUUUAUAGCAUGCGCUGCUUCUAAUUUGUUGAAAUUCCAUUUAUGAUGGGACGCUUUUAACUUGGCAGAGUCAUAUUGGUUGCAUCUUUCAUGUGGUGUCUAGCUUGCAUUGCUUCUUAUUUGCUGGAAUGGUUUCUGCUUAGUUUACACAAACAGUUGUGAACAUGCCAUGCUGUCCUGUUUUUCGUACAUAUUCCAUCCUGGUAUCAUGUGUUUGCCUUACAUCAAAGUAGUGGUUGUCAGUAUCAUGCAUGAAUGAGUUCUGAAGAGAGAAUUUUAUUGCUUUUUCUUGUCGGUUUUACUUGACAAUUCAAAAUCAAUAAAGCGGAAGGAAGUUAGCAAGGCAGCGGAUAAAGGUGCUCCUUCCGAACGGAGGGCCUCUACAGUUUCUACUCCUCCACACCCCCAAGAUGAUUUCCAAGACAACACAUGCAUAGACACUCAACAAAGUUGUGUUUAUGAUGAGCAUGUCUCCCCUAGUGCAGCAUCACCGGUGCUCCCUCUAACUUGGCACUGUUAUAUGUGGUUGCAUGUUAUGUGUGAUGUCUAGCUUGUAUUGCUUCUAAUUUUGUUGAAUUCCAUCUGCUUACUUUACACAUUAUACUUGAAUAAGACACGUGUUCCUGUUUCUAGAACAUACAAUAUUUGUCUAUCACACCAUGUUCUUACAUCAAAUUACUACUGUUGUGUAACCUGCAACAAUCACUUAUCAUAAGACACGUUUGACUUCGGAGUGUGAUAUAGGUUACAUCUCACAUUCUUUUCUAGCUUGUACUACUAAUUUUUUGAAAUGGCACUUAUGACGAGACAAUUUUAACUUGGUAGAGUGAUAUUUGUUGCAUCUUUCAUAUGGUGUCUAGCUUUCAUUGCUUCUAAUUUGUUGAAAUGCCUUCUCCUUAGUUUACACAUCAUAAGCUGUGAAUAUGCAAUGUUGUGAAUAUGCAAUGGCACUAAUGACGAGAGACCUCUAACAUGGUAGUGUGAUGUUGUUUGCAUCUUGCAUAUGAUUUAUUUCUUGUACUGCUUCACAUUUGUUUAAACGCCAUUUAUGAUGAGACACUGUUAACUUGGCAGAGCGAUAUUUGUAGCAUCUUUCAUAUGGUGUCUACCUUCCAUUGCAUUGCUUCUAAUUUGGUGAAAUGUCUUCUUCUUAGUUUACACAUCAUAGUUCUGGUUAUCUCUUCCGUCCUGUUUUUCAUACACAUUACAUCCUCCUAUCAUGUGGUUGUCUAACAUCAAAGUUUAGUUCGUCUGCAUCACGCAUCAAUUUGUUCUGAAGAACUAAAUUGUUAUUCAUUUUUCUUGUCGGCUUGACUUAACAUGGCACACAGAAAGAGGAAGAAACACGGAAUGGCAGGGAAUGAGAAGUGGAUGAAUCCUGCAGAUUCUGUUGGUACUGAUGGUGCAAUAGAAGGUCAAAGUCCAGCGGAAAAUUCUACAAACACGGCAUCCCAUGCUACACGAGUUGCAAAAAAAGCCAAACAGAAACAAAUAGCUACCACCAAACAAGUAGAGACAGCCCUAGUUCUUGCAACACCUACCAUAGUACUACCAGCUGCACGACUUACUCGUGCGUCAACUGAGCUAGCAGCACGUUCCCAAGCUCCCUUGCCACCUGACACUACUUCCCAAGCACUCUUGACACAAGACGAGUUGGCAAUAUCAGAUGAACCUUGUGAGCUUCAACAACAAGAAGGUAGUUGCUGGAGUCAAGUGACAGUUGCAUGCUUCUUUAUAUGUAGUCUCACAGUUUGAUGUACACUAACACUUCCUAUGUUCGUUGUUGAACUAGCACCUAGGCGCAAGAGGAAACAAACAUCAGGGAUAAUACUCGAUAGGUUAACUAAAUCUAGAGGAGGAAGAAUGGAGAUCCGUUUUGAGGCAGGUUUAAAAAGGCCACGUGAUGCUACAGAGUUAGCCAAGUUAGUAUCAGAGGCAGCGGUUGCCAUUAGGUGUCAUGUACGUAUCCUCCCAACAUGGAUUCAGUACAGGAAUGACAAAGACGAAACCCAGUUCAACACCUUCCUCGACCAUUUAUCUGUAAGUAUGGUUAUGUAUGGAAACUAGUAAUAUCGUCUUGCUCUGUCCCAUAAUUUUAGGUUGCUGAUAAUGAGACUCUCAUAAUUUUCAACAGAUGAGGUUCAAGUUGGAUGGCCAAGAUGAUGCAACCAGACAAGCUUGCACCCAUGUUUUCAAGUCUGCUCUGCGACAGUAUCGGUAUAACUUGAGGAAAACUCACUUUGAAGGCAAGGCUAACAGUGAACUUUCCCAAACAUCUCUAGUGGAAAAUAUAUCGGAUGAAGACUGGAGGGGCCUUGUUAAACACUGGUCUGAUCUGAAGUAUCAGGUACAUUAUAUAUAUGUGAUCAGAUCACAUGUUGAAGUCCUAUUUAUGCAUGUGCCACACAAAUCUAUCUUCUUGUAGGUGAACUGUUCAAAGAACAAGGCCAACCGUACGAAAGUGAAAUUCCAACAGACGACAGGAUCUCGUAGUUAUAUUGCACACUGUGAGGCUCUUGUAAUUAGCUGAUGUUUCACUCUUUUCGCUGUACCAUAUUAUCAGAUCUAUAUUGACUUGUUCAAAAUGCAGAGGAAAGCCCGCAAGGACCAAAAAGUACCUGAACCAAAUGUUGUGGAAAUCUUCAAGGACUGUCACACCAGCAAGAAGAAGGGCAUGACUACACCAGUAAAAGUCGCUGGUGUAAGUCCUUAAUCCUCAUGCCUUUUAACUACUACUUACUCUGACUUGUGCCUUGAACUGCAUGGUUUGCAGCCAAUGUCUAUUACUCUUUUAAAUUUUAUACACAAUUAUCUUAGUGUAUCAUUGCACCUUACAAGGUUUAAAAGAGAGGAGUGAUGUUCCUUUGAUCUUGACCCGUGAUCUAGUCCCGUGCUGGACUUGCCCACACAACAUUACAAUUGCCUGUUUGUCUGUUCUCAGUUGUUUUGUGAUAUGAAUGAUGUCAUACUAUGCUUACCGUAUUAUAAACUUCGUCUCUUUAUCCUUAGCCCUCAAUACAAUGUGAAGAAGUAGACAAUACAUUAGCGAUGGUACAUGGUCAUAUGUUUGGAACCUGGUUUUAUUAUGUACUUUGCAAUAAAAUACAACUAAUAUUUUACAUGGGUUCACCAGAAUAAGUUCUGUAUAUAGACCAAAGCUAUUUUGUAUGGUUUUGCUGCCUCCUUAAUAUCUUCUGUUCUGGUACUACUAAUGUAAAACCUCAACUUUUCAGCAAGCUAUGAAAAAAAUGGCGAGGCAACUAUAACCGCAAUGUCAGCUCUUGCUGCAAUGGGUCAGUACCUGUCCACUAACAAUGCCAAAAGCACGUUCCUGCGUAAUACUGGGUUGGUUGUUAAGGCAAUAUCGUCCAAACUGCAUCAUGAUCAAGAUAUGCAAGCUUAAAGCAAAUGGUGUAUCUGUGCUCCAGACACAAUUCCAUUCCCUAACAGAGACCCUUUGUGAAACAAGGAGAAACAUUGCUCAACGUCGUCAAGAUAUGCAUGGUUUUGAAACCUGACUAUCAGACAUUUGCUAUGUUGUUCAGAAGCCUAGGGGACAUGAAGGCGAGGGUUAUGGUGCUCCAUCAGACAAUACAGCAUGAAAACGUAACAGUCGGGUCAAAUGAACUGAGCUUCUGAACUUCUGGUGGUGCAUUUAUCUGCUAGACUGUUAAGUUUUAUGUCAACCUUCCUUUUGUUAUAUAGUUGUAAUUUGUUUUGGUGCGAUACAAAAUUUAUUCUUAACGUGCAGCCACCAGCUGAAGAAAACAGCAAGCCAUUUUUGUAUAGUGUAGGGUGCUCUCUAUAUUUGCACUGGUGGCGAUCUUUGAUGUCGAGUGGAUGUAGUCUGCGCAAUCGCCUUAAUAGCCUAGCGUUAGUUUCGGCCUUAUUUAUUUCCUAGUCUUCUUUUUCCCUGGUUUGCUAGUGGCCGCAACUACCAUGGGCCAUAUACGGGCCGUAGGAUCCAUGGGUCUCCUACGGGCCGUCGAUAAAUGGGCAUGUAAUCGGUGGGCCUCGGGCCGUCGGAUAAAUGGGUCUACAUGGGCCGUAAUCAGGCGUAAUUGGUAUCGGCCCAGCAUGGUAACAGGCCGUUAACAGGCCGUAUGACAACAAAGGCUUAAUUCUGUCACAGGCAUAAUGGGUCGUUAAUGGGCCAGAAUAUAGGACGGGCUGGAAACGGCGCAACGGGUUAACAGGCCAAAAACGGACCGACUCUUGCCAUGGGCCGAAUUUGGCCCAUUAGGGUAACAGGCCAGUAACGAGCCGACUCUUGCCAUGGGCCGAAUUUGGCCCAUUAAGGGAACAGGCCAGUAACGGGCCGACUCUUGCCAUGGGCCGAAUUUGGCCCAUUAGGGGAACAGGCCAGUAACGGGCCGGAAGUAAUCGAGGGCCGAAAAGGAGCCCAAGAACGUAUGGGCCGUCAAUAGGCCUAAAGCUAACACAGGCUGGAAAUGGCCCAUGUAAAUCACGGGCCGUAAACGGGUAUAAAGAAAAUUACUGUUCAUUAUGGGCUAGAGUCACCGUGGGCCUGUAAAAGGCCGAAAGAUACGAAGGCCUCAUAUGGGCCAAAGGACGUCGUGGGCCAUACAUGGGCCGAAAGUGAAAUGGGCUGGUGUUAUAUUCGACGGCCCACAUGACAUUGUUGGGCCGAUUUCCUUUAGGGCCUAAUGGGUCGUGACUUAACGGGCCGUAAAAUGGGCUAUUUGCAAAGAGACCGUUAACAGGCUUUUCAUGGGCCAGCCCGUUAACUUUUGACCAAGUCAAACGGCUGGCUUUGUAAGCUAAAUGGGCCAGUGGUGGGUCGUGGCACGUGUAGACAUAUCAUAGGCGCCUAUCUGACCCACUGACGAGCUGACACGUGUUGCGUCCGGCCAAUAAGAAUUUUACACGUGGAAAUUUCCCAUUGGUCGGGGCUGUUAACGGGUUAUCAGAUCCAAAACCCGACCCGAUAGCUUAACGGUGUUCCGUUACGGUGGAUGCCACGUGUCGGUCACCCUUGACGAAAGCACUUCUGUGAUACGCGAUUUAUCGUCAUGGAAGUGGACACUUCCGUGAUGAUAAUUUUGGUAAUGUCAUGGAACACUUCUACGACAGCACAGGUAUGACUCUCUUGAUUCUGUCAUAAAAUCGUCAUGGAUGUACAUGCAUGAAAAAAAAUGCAACCUACAGUGACAAACACGUAUCAUCAUGGAAGUGUAUUUUUUGUAGUGGAUGAUACGGCGGUCAAUGCCGGAUUCAGUGGCUCUAAGUCCGGUCAGUGGAAGAAGCCGUUCAAAAAGAACAAUUCGGGCUCAUACAGCUUGGACCGCAUACUCGAUCGUCCGUGUCAGAUCCAUGGCACCCCAGACAAACUACCCAAUCAUACCAACAAAGAUUGUUGGGUUUUCAAACAAGCCGACAAGUUAAAUGCCGAAAGCAAGGAGAAGGGAUCGCAAAGCGAGGACGAUGACGAGGAGUCCGGACCACCGGACAUAGGGGGACAGAAGAAGUUUCCCCCUCAGGUCAAAAUGGUAAACAUGAUAUAUGCUACCCACAUCCCCAAGAGGGAGCGCAAGCGCGCGCUCAGGGACGUCUAUGCGAUAGAGCCAGUCACCCUAAAAUUUAAUCCAUGGUCGUCAUACCCGAUCACUUUCGAUCGUCGGGAUCAUCCGACCAGUAUCCGUCACGGUGGUUCAGACUCACUGGUCCUGGACCCAAUAAUUGAUGGGUUCCACCUGACAAGAGUCCUGAUGGACGGUGGCAGCAGCCUCAACCUGCUCUAUCAGGACAUAGUGCGCAAAAUGGGCAUUAAUCCAUCACGGAUCAAGCCCACAAAGACCACCUUUAAAGGAGGCAUACCAGGUGUAGAGGCCCGUUGUACGAUCUCAAUCACACUAGAGGUUAUCUUCGGAUCUCCGGACAACUUCCGAAGUGAGGAGUUAAUCUUCGAUAUCGUCCCCUUUCGCAGCGGCUAUCACGCACUGCUCGGACGAACCGCAUUUGCUCGAUUCAACGCGGUUCCACACUACGCUUAUCUCAAGCUCAAGAUUCCCAGACCAUGCGGUGUCAUAACGGUUAAUGGAAACAUGGAACACUCCCUCCGCACCGAGGAGCACACCGCGACCUUAGCAGCAAAAAUACAGAGCAGCCUUUCCAAGCAGAACCUUAAUUCGACGGUCGAGCUCCCGGACACUGUUAAGAGAGUCCAGACUAUUCUGCGGCAGGACAGCUCGGUUCGUCAAGAGCUUGACUAGCAAUUCGGCCUUCGUCCUAGUCCCGACCAAGUGGCGGCAAUUGUACCAUGCAUACAUAACUACGCACUCAAAAUACCAUGGGCACGGAUGGAGGCAUAACUAGCUUGUGAUCCACAAUACGGCUCGACCGCCCCUGGACACACAUACUUUCACGGUUUCCAUUUUUCCUCCUUUUUCAGGUUUCUUCUUCACAGGCCUUCCCUGACGGCUAGACCAUCGAUUCUUUUCAAAGGAUAAAUACACCAAGACGACAAGAAGCAUGGACGUACUGGGGAAUUUUUUAGGUGGUUUCUUUAACGAUCCCUUUACCUGUUUUCAGGACCCACACGCAGCUUUCCCUUGGUUAAGGCAUAUCAAAUAGCCUUCUGCUUAUUGCACUACUUGUAUAAAUGCGCUUUAACGCACCAAGGAAAUUAUAAUGGAAACAGUUUGCGGCCCAAAUUUUAUGGCUCUAGCUUACUACCUUUUCUUAUUUUUCUUUUUUUGAUAACUUUAUCAAAUAGCAUCUGUACACUUUGGUACAUUUCAAAUUGCCAGGGGCUUCAUCGCGCCCCACAACAUGGCAACAAAGUCCGAACACUUUUUACAGUAUAGUUCGGCACCCCGAAUUUAGCACUAUAUGCAUUGGCUCUCAAUCAUGUCUUUGGUCAAUAAUUGGGUUGCCCGGCUCCAGUGCUUGCUACCUUACGUUCCGCUAUAUCGGCUAGGGUAGUAAAGGGAGAACUACUGUGAUUGUGCCCUGGUUUACCCGGAUGAGCACCUCAGUAAAGAAAGCCGAAAACUGACUGUCAUGAUGUGGCGAGAGCCGGUCAGCUCUUUGGAGGUCUCAAAUCCUUAAAGAUUUUUUCUGCAUUACGCGAGGGAUCGGUAUUUACCCGAUCAGGUGUUUACAGCACCCUAGUCCGGAUACUAGGGGCUCCGCCUAUAUUUUUAUUGUCAAACUCCAACGGCUAAGUGAGGGUGCUAAAUCCGCAUAGUCCGAUUACCUGGUUCGUCGCGCUAAACACCUCCUUCAAGGACCAAACAAUUGGAUCAAAAGUGUUUAGAUUACAUCCCGAACACCCCCGUACUACCUACGUGGGGGCUGAAGCCGACGACUGGCCAACUCUCAGAUUUCACACAACACAACCGAACAAGAGGUGAAAUUUUUUUAACAAACAUUAUAUUACAUAAUGACUUUGUUUCAUCAUACAAGGCAAAGACAACAUGAAUGCAUUCAUUCGAAAAUAAUGUCUUGCACACAUUGCGUUGCCACAAUACGAGACCCCUCCAGGACGUCUUCAAAGUACCACUCGGGUGCGCGGUGCUCCUUGCCCUUUGGCAGUCCCCCGGUCGUCAGCUUGAUGGCGUCCAUCUUUGCCCACCACACCUUGACGCGGGCGAAGGCCAUGCGUGCGCCCUCGAUGCAGACCGACUGCUUGACAACGUCCAGCCGAGGGCAGGCAUUCACCAGCCGCUUCAUGAGCCUGAAGUAGCUGUCGGGCAUAGCUUCGGCAGGCCACAGCCGGAUUAUUAAAUCCUUCAUGGCCAGUUCGGCCACCCUAUGCAGCUCGACCGACUGUUUUAGCUGAUCAUUGAAGGGCACUGGAUGUUCUGGCGCAAGAUAUUGCGACCAGAACAGUUUCUCCGUAGUCUCCCUUCUUCGGCUCAGAAGAACUCCGCAGUGUCAGACACACUACGUGGUAGAUCCGCAAACGCCCCUAGAGAACUCCGAAUCCGGGUUAGUAAGAGAUAGUUCUUCUUCACAUAUUUGCUUUGCAUACUAAACGCCUUACCCGUCGUGAUUUUCUUGGCCUCCUAGAUCUCCUGGAGGGUGCCCCGGGCCUCAAUCCGGGCCUCUUCCGCGCUUUGACGGGCCAUAGCAAGUUCGGUCUCUCGAGCCGAAACGUCACGCUCCAAGGAUACGCAUUUCUUCACCGCAUCCUGGAGCUCUUGCUGGACCUCAUCCAGCCGGGCCUCGUGCUUCUCACAGGCGGCUUUUUCCUUGGCCGCUUUCUCCUUGGCCUGGGCCAGGGCCUGUCUAAGGACCUCGACCUCGAUCGCUACUCCUACACAUAUCAUGGCACUACGGUCAAUACGCAUUAUUUAUUCUUCCCGAAUAUACAGCCAGUCAGUACAUCCCUUGCUGGUCUUCUAGUUGCUUCCUCGCUUGGCCGAGCUCCUCCUCGGCCCGCUCCAGUCUCUACUUUAGUCCGGAGACUUCGGCAGUGUGUGAGGUCACGGCCAGCAAAGACGCCUGCUUAUUCAUAUAAGCCAUAUUUUAGUUAGUUUCCUGCGAAAAUAAAUUGAUCCUCUGUCCGGCUCUUCUUUCUAAACACUGGACAGUGUCUCACGGGCUAUUGUCUAUAUUGGGAUUUUCUCUUUUUUUUGCGUCGCUUACCUCAAAGCCUGUCAGGAGGCUACCGCAGGCUUCGGUCAGUCUGCUUUUGACGGACUGGACCUUCUCAAUCACCGUACCCAUAAGGAUAUGGUGUUCAUCCACAAUGGAAGUGCCUCGUAGCACUUCCAGCAGAUUAUCCGGUGCCUCUGGUUGGAUAGAGGUCAUCGGUGGAAUAGGCAUGCCCCCUUCUUUCGAAGGAGGUUGCUCGCCAAAUUCCGGAGCCAUAUAGGUCUCCUGACUUGUAUUCGGCUGGGCGCCGAAUUGAGCAAAGCCCUCGUCCCCGGUCGCCAUGGGGGUCUGCUCCCCCAUGUGUCCGGCAGCCGAGGUUUCGGCCUCUGGCGCCACCAGGCGGCCUCCUGAACCUCUCCUUGGCCUGGGAAGGUCCUUUGGGACAACACCUCGCCGUCACCCUUGGCCGUGGGAGAGUGACCGGCCGGCGGUGACUCGCUGGCCAUCACCUUCAAAUCCAGCGAACCUCUUGAUGAGGAUCGCUGGGAGCCGUCGUGGGCCGGACUAAAAUAACAUCAUUUAAACAUAUCAAUAUCAUGAAGCAAGAGAGGCCGGAUGUAGGGACGUGCGCGGAUUCUUAGUGCUUACGACGCAGCCAGGGGCUUGUUUCAGGGGUGUCGCUCCGGGCUACUGUCGACAUCGCAUGCGGUGUUAUCCACAAGGGGACCCUUCCCCCUCUUGAGCGCCUCUGCCUCCAGAUUGGUGGAGGCCGCCCACCCUCUUCUUCCUCCCCUCCCCCCCCCCCUCGUCAGGGGGAGAGGUGCUUUCCUCCUCCUCCUUAUCGUCUUCGGCAGCGAAGGAGUGAGUCUUGUCUUCAGAUGAUACGUCCGAAGCUCCCUUGCGGCGGGGGCCACUCCGGACCCCCUUGGCCUUAUUUUUGGCCUUCUUCUCCAGCACCUUAUAGGGCGCCGGUACCAGCAUCUUCGCUAGGAGCGGGAUGACUGGUUCCUCAGGCAGCGGAGCCGAACAUCGAAUCUGCUCCGCUCUCUUCGUCCAUACUUGAAAUAAUAAAGUUUAGAUAUCUUCCUUGAAACAAGCAAGUAGAGGAUGCGUCUAGAGACGUUAAAGGCUUACCUCGUUGGCAGAAUGGGUAAUGUCGUGCCCACGGUCCGAGUCUAUGGCUGGCGGUGUCUCGUUACCCUUAAAGAGCAACUUCCAUGCAUCUUUGUGAGUGGUUCCGAAGAGCCUUUCCAAGGUUUGGUGCUUCUUCGGGUCGAAUUCCCAUAAGGGGCAGCUUCGGCUUUGGCAUGGGAGAAUCCGGUGAACCAGCAUCACCUGGGUUACAUCGACGAGCUUGAUGUUUUUAUCCACCAUGCUUUGAAUGCGUGUUUGCAGCGCUAUCAGCUCGUCUGACAAAGAUCAAUUUGGGAUGUUCCCCAUCCAGGAGGUGAGCCGCACUAGAGCUCCGGACUUGAAUUCGGAAGCGACGACCCAAUUGGCGCUGCGGGGCUCUGUGAUAUAGAACCAUAGUUUCUGGCACUCCUUGACAUCUCCACAAAAGUGCCCUUGGGCCACGUGACAUUGGGCAGCUUCCUCACCAUGGCGCCUCCGCACUCCGCGUGCUGGCCAUCCACCACCUUCGGCUUCACGUUGAAAAUCUUGAGCCAUAGUCCGAAGUGGGGUUGGAUGCGGAGGAAGGCCUCGCACACGACAAUGAAUGCCGAGAUGUUAAGGAAGGAGUUCGGGGCUAGAUCAUGGAAGUCUAGCCCAUAAUAGAACAUAAGCCCGCGGACGAAAGGGUGGAGAGGAAACCCUAACCCGCAGACGAAAUGCGGGAUGAAGACCACCCUCUCGUUGGGCUUCGGGGUGGGGACGACUUGUCCCUUGGCUGGAAGCCGGUGGGCGAUUUCUUUCACCAGAUACCCGGCCUCCCGAAGCUUGGUGAUGUCCUUCUCCCUAACGGAGGAGGCCAUCCACUUGCCUUGCCCUCCAGAUCCGGACAUGGUUGAGUGCUUCCUAGGGGCGGAAAGAAUGAGGACUUGGGCGCUGGAGCUCGAGGAUGGAAGGGCAGAGGAAGAGAGAAGGCGUGGGUGAAGAAAGGGGAAUCCUUAUCUCCUUAUAAAGGCAGUGAAUAUCAAGCGCCUCCCCACUCGCCUUAAAACUCGCCUGUUCCCAAGGGCUGUGUAAACGGCACGGUUAUAUUACCCACGCCCGUAUUGAUGAGAAUCCCGCAAUAAGGGGACACGAUCUCUGCUUCGACAAGACGUGCCUAUUAAAACCACGUCUCGAAACAUGGAACAGCAGACGAAACACAGUUUGAAAUGAUGACCAAGCAGAUGUGAUGUCACAUUACAAAAAGUUGCCAGCGGAUUGGACUCGUGUAAUAUUAUAUUCUCUGCGGUUAUGUGUGGUACUUGUGUUGCAAAUCCGGACACGUUCAUUAUGACCGAAGACUAUCUUGGAGUAUUCAGAAAGGGGGACCCACCUUGCAAUGCUGAAGACAAUCUGCGCGCCGGACACCUCGUCAUUGAAGCCUGGUCCAGGGGCUACUAAGGGAGUCCUGGACUAAGGGGUCCUCGGGCGUCCGGCCUAUUAGACAUGGGCCGUACUGAUGGACUGUGAAGAUACGAAGAACGAAGACUCUACCUGUGUCCGGAUGGGACUCUUCUUGGCGUGGAAGGCAAGCUUGGCGUCCAAAUAUGAAGAUUCCUUUAUUUGUAACCGACCUUAUGCAACCCUAGAUUCCUCCGGUGUCUAUAUAAACCGGAGGGCUAGGUCCGUAGAUAUAUCCUCAUAAUCAUAGUCAGACAGGCUAGACUUUUAGGGUUUAGCCAUUGCGAUCUCGUGGUAGAUCAACUCUUGUAAUACUCAUAAUCAUCAAGAUCAAUCAAGCAGGAAGUAGGGUAUUACCUCCAUAGAGAGGGCCCGAACCUGGGUAAACAUUGUGUCCCUUGUCUCCUGUUACCAUCGACCUUAGACGCACAGUUCGGGACCCCCUACCCGAGAUCCGCCGGUUUUGACACCGACAAAGGGUAAAUGCAUUGGUUGAUUGUUUCAGUGUUAAUAACGGAUACAAUGGUGUCAGUUACAUGCAUAACAACUGACAUCGUAUUUUUGUUUCAUGGUAAUGCACGCCAUUCAACUGUAUGUUACAACGGGUCAAUGUCUCACGAGACAUCGGAUCCGUCUUCUGGGCUCAGGGCGAGUCACGGGCGCCGCAUGCCUCGUCCCCCUUGAAGGCGGAGGUAGAUUGACACGAACAAGGACGGAGGGGGUCAGGAGGGAGAGGGGGGCGGCUGGUGGGGGACUCCUCCUUGGCGGUCUGUGGGGAAGUAGGGUGUGAAGGAGAGAGGGUGCCAUUGCAAAGGUGAGGUGGGCGUCGUCCGAUUUUAAAGAAAAGGGAUACAACAAGAAAUGUUCAACUACAAUGAAAUACUAAGCGAGGAAGGGAAGGUCUAACCGAAGAGGAAGGGUGUGUUAUGGGGUGUGGUUUUUAUGUUGGGGUCGUAUGUUGGACAUAAUAUGACAGAUAGUCUGGACAGCCAUAUUUUUCCUCCACAUAUGAGCUGGAUUUGGGAGAGUUCGGAUCAUUUAGACAGUUGGAUUUUGGGAGCCAACCGGGACCCAUUUGAUGUCCGAACACGUCCAGACAUAUGAGGGAGAAAUGGCUUUCGACCUUAGAGAUGAUCUUAAUCAUUUGUUCGAUUAUAUGCAUUGCAGCCCGUGGGAACACACGGGCAUUCUACUAGUCUAGGUAGAAAUAAUCUUGCUCAAUAAUGGGAAGAUAUUCAUAAGCAAUACCUACACCAGUUUUCUUGUGGAAACAGAAUUGAGAACAAUGAGGUGUUGAAACAUAGAGCAAGUAUUGUAGCACAAGGGUUCACGCAGAUACCCAACUAUUCCCGAGAGGUGGAAUUUCUUUCCGAUAACUUAUAUCAUUGGCAGGACAAAAUCAUCUAUUUAUGCAGUUGAUAGAUGUAGUGAUUACAUAUUCAUGUGGAUCACUAGAUUCAUACAUAGAUGGUUCCCGUUGGAAUCUCACUUCUAAAUCGAAAUGCCAAAUGCAACAUACAUUGUGUAAAUUAGUAAGUCACUAUACGGCUUAUUAUUGUAGGUGUAUUUUGGUACAACUAAUGUAAUGAGUUCCUUAUUCACAAGGAUUACUCCUACACUGAUGAUUACCCAUACAUGUUAAGCGUGUGAUCAUCUAAAUGAUGGAAUUUGAGAUGAAGGAUUUGGGUAAAACAUCGAGCACCUUCACUCAUACAUAAUGGUACACAUGUUGUCUAUAUAUUGAUUAUAUUGGAGAAAUUGAUUGUGGACAAAUCUUAUGCAUCCAUAACUCGCAUGGCUUCAUUCUCUAGACGUAGAGAAAGAUCCAUUAAAACUAUGAGUUGAUGGCAAUGCAAUAUUGGGACAUAGAGUUCCAUAUCCUAGUGCCAUUGGACACACCACACAUAAUUGGUUGGGGCUCAAGAAUAUCUUUCAAUAACUCCAAGGCAUCAAACAUUUUGACCUAAUCUUUCAGUUUCAGAGAAAUCUGGACACCAAUAUCAUUGAAUAGGUCAACCAGAUCCCUACUAUGUCAGAUCGUAGACAAAGUUUUUGUUCCUGCUUGUGAUAGCCUCAUGGCUACAUCCACCAACCAUUAUCUCAAAGAUAAUAUUGCUUGUGUUGCCCAGAUGAAAACAGAUUACAUAAUAAGCAAUAUCGCUAUAUUGCAUAUCUUGCAAGUCAAAUCAUGUGACUGAUUUGUUCACCAAGUCUCUACCAACUUCUACAUGCCAGGGGGGUAUCUUCCUGAAUUGUUCCUGUUCAAAGCAUCAUAUUAUACUUUUUUCUCUUCAUGAGUUUACUUUACAGGUUCUCAUGAAGGUUUUUAAUGAGAGGAUAUCAACAUGAGAUCAUGUGUCAUACUUUCUGUUUUCCCCACCAGGGUUUUUAGGAAAGUAUAUACAACAUGUUUAUUGUGCUCUAAACUCUACGGGGUUUCUCAUAUUAAGUUAAAAGGGACAAUAAGCAUUAUAUGUUGCAUCAUUUUCUCCUUAUUUUUCCACUGGGUUUGCAGGAGUUUUAGCAACAUAUCAAACACAUAUUACCUCGUACUUUUCCCAUAGGGUUUUUGGAGGAGCUUUUCAAGAUGAUGAUACUUACACAAAAAAGCAUGGAUUAGGGGGUUGUUAGGAAUUAAUUAAUUAUUUUAAUCCUUGCUUUGCUUAAUUACCAAGCCGGAUACUAUUUGGCAUGUCAGUUGCUCAGGCCCCUUUGUACAGGAACCCCUUGGAGGCACCCUUUGUAAUCCUAUAUAAGACAUCAUCAUCAAGAAAGACUACAUACAGUUUUCAUUACCAUUCAUUGUCUCUCAUUUUCACUUACUAAUAAUUCUGAUUCACAAAAUUAACGGUAUCUGUCAGACCGCUUCCACAUCAAUUGGCGGCAUAUGGUUCUGAGCUCCUGCACAUUACACUCCUAGGUGGUGACAUCAAUGAAAUCGCUCACCAAUAGACGGGUCAAAAGUAAAGUUAAAAGGUUCCAUAUCUCUAAUCCCCAUUCCUCCUUUGUAUUGUGGCAUGGUCCGUCUCCCAUGAAACCCAUGCCGUCUUCCUCUGACCACCUUUGCUACUGUAAGAAUUCGAGAGAAAACUUGUGUUUAUUGAUUGUGGGCAAAGCCCUAUUUAUACAAGGAUUUGGGGCGCCUCCAGAGAGGCGUCCAUUUACAAUAGGCUCAUGUUGACGCGAGAAGACGCCCCUACGGACGUUCGCGUCUGUAUGGCGCUUUGGACACAUGUGACGAAUCCUAACAACGAUUAGCGCUAAUGACGUCGGUUUAUUCUUAACACUCCACCUUGUACAAAGUUGCUUCUUCUGUGUCUGGCAUCCUUGUAUAACUUUGAGAAUAUUGCUCUUAAUCACAAGCGUAUAUGAUCUUGAAUAACUCCUCCAAAAACCCUGUGGGAAAAAUAUGAGGAGAAUAGAACUUGAUAUGUUGUUAAAACUCCAUUAAAACCCAGUAGGAAAAUAAGGAGAAAAUGAUACAACAUAUGUUAUUGUCUCUUUGAUAACUUAUAUGAGAAAAACCUUGAGUAUAAAACUCAUUGGUAAGUUUAGAGGAUAAUUAAUAUGUCUUGUAUACACCCAUUAAAAAACCCUGUGGGGAAAAGUAGGAUGUAUGACAUAUAUUCUUAUGUUGAUAUUACCUCAUUAAAAACCUUGAUGAGAACCAUGAGAGUAAACUCAUAAAGGGAAAAGGAGUGCAAUAUAAUGUUUGAACAGGUUAUGAUUUAGAGAGACUCUCCCCCUAAUCUUUGCAAAUCUCGAAGUCAUCGCAUACCAAUCCCAUGAACAUAUUUUCCAAAUGUUGAAGCUGGGAGUAUCGCAUGAUUUGACUUGCAAAAUGUUUAUCUUCCCUUUCUUUUGUAACUAAUGGGGGGUAAUUUAGGAGAAAUAUGCUUAGUGAUAUUGCUCUUUAUGUAACCUAUUUGCAUUUGAGCAACACAAGCUGCAUUAUCUUCGUAGAUAAUGGUUGGAGACUCGAUAGAACCUUUACCACAUGAUUUUUGUAUGUGGUUUAUCAUUCUACGAAGCCACACACAUUCAGUGUUGCCUCAUAUAAUGCGAUUAUUUCAGAAUGAUGGUGGAUGUAGCCACAAGAGUCUGCUUGGAAGAUUUCCAUGAUAUGGAUGUCCCACCAUGUAGGAACAAAAAACCAGUUUGUGAUCUGGCAUUGUGGGGGUCAGAUAAGUAGCCAGCAUCAGCAUACCCAAUCAUAUCAAUGUCUGAAUUUCUCUGAAAUUGAAAGAAUAGGCCAAGAUCCUUUGUGCCUUGGAGAUAUCGAAAGAUAUUGUUAACUCCCGUCCAAUGGCGUUUGGUAGGACUUGCGCUAUGUCUAGCUAGUAAAUUCACUACAAAUGCAAUAUCAGGCCUAGUGCAAUUUGCAAGAUACAUUAGCGCUCCAACGGCACUAAGAUAUGGAACUUCAGGUCCUAAUAUCUCUUCUCCAUUAUCCAUUGGUCUAAAUUGAUCUUUCUCUAUGUCUAGAGAUCGAACUACCAUAGGAGAUUUGGAUGGAUAGGAUUUGUCCAUAUUGAAUUUCUUCAAUAUUUUCUGGAUAUAGGCGGUUUGAUGAACCAAAAUACCCAAGGGAAGGUGCUCAAGUUGCAAUCCUAAGGAAAAUUUGGUUUUACCCAAAUACUUCAUCUCAAAUUCCGUCUUUAGGUGAUUGCGUGCUUCAUCAAUAUCUUGUGUGGUUCCAAUGAUGUUUAGAUCAUCAACAUACACAGACAUAAUGCAAAGUCCAAUUGCGGACUUUUUAUGAAAACACAUGGGCAUACAUCAUUAUUGGAGUAUCCUUUUUUUCAAAAAGAACUCACUAAGUCGGUUGUACCACAUGCGACCCGACUGUUUUAAGCUGUAUAAAGACUUAUUUAGUUUUACAUAAUAUGUGUUGCAUUUUGCGUUUGGAUUCAGGAUUGGGACUCCAUCAGGAUCCUUCGUGUAUAUGUCCGAAUCAAGUGAACCAUAAAGGUAAGCGAUCAGUACAUCCAUCAACUAUAUAGAUAGACGAUUUUGAACUACCAUAGAAAUGAGGUAUCGAAAAGUAAUGCCACUCAUUACUGGAGAAUAUGUUUCAUUGAAAUCAAUGUCUGGUCUCUGCAUGAAACCUUGGGCUACAAGCCUUGCUUUAUAUCUCACCACCUCGUUGUUCUUGUUUCUUUUAUGAACAAAAACCCAUUUGAAUCCCACGGGGAAAACUCUGGGAGGUGUAGGUAUUGCUUCAGUGAGAACCUUUCAUUUAUUGAGCGAGGCUAACCCUACUUAGAUUGCAUCCUUCCAUUUAGGCCAGUCGGAGCGUUUCUUGCACUCUGCCAUGGUCUUUGGAUCAUGAUCAUUUAGAAGGUUGUUUGCAACUGUAGUUGAGAAAUAUAUGUCGACAAUUGUAGACUUAGGAUUGUAAGAUUCUCUAGAAUCUAUAUAGUUUGUGGAAAUUUCAUUUACCCUUGUUGACUGGUCGUGAUUUCCCAAUACGAUUGAGUUAGGGUUUUCCGAUGUCCCGGUCAUUGAGUGCACAACUGAGCUGGGUUGUGGAGGUUGUCCUCCCACUAGGUGUAUAUUACCCAUUUGAUGAUUAUCAACACUAGGUUGGUUUACAUUUACUGGUUAAGAGGGUCUCUUUCUCUGUUUCCUUUGUUGCUUUUGAGGAGCUGAAUCCUUUCCCGUGGCCGUACUUCUCCCCCUCUUCCUUUGAACAGGGGGUUGAGUAGUUUUUGUUGGUACCUCCACUCUUUCGAGCACGUUUUUAGCAGGAUUGUAGGAUUUGGUAACACUUUUAUAGUCAGUAAAUGAAUCUGGCAGGUUAUUUGCAAUGUGUUGCAAAUUAAUUAUUUUCCAAACUUGAAGUUCAGUUUCUUGAGUACAUGGAUCAGAGGAGGAAAUGCCUUGGGCAUUCCAAUCGAUUUCCAGGCAUUCUUUUUGGUACUUGAUUUCUCCGCCUAAUGCCGGGAAAUGGUCCUCAUUGAAGAUGCAGUCAGCGUGAUGGGUUGUGAACAGAUCCCCCGUGAGGGGUUCAAGGUACUUGAUUAUCGACGGUGAUUUGUACCCCACAUGGAUCCCCAAUUUUCUGUGUGGUCCCAUGGAUGUACGCUGCGGUGGUGAGAUUGGCAUAUAUGUGGCGCAUCCGAAUUUACGCAGAUGGGAAAUAUUUGGUAGGUUUCCACGUACUAAUUGCAGAGGGGAAGUGUUGUGAUAUGCAGUUGGUCGCAAUUGGAUUAAGUCAGCGGCGUGUAAAACCGCGUGACCCCAACAAGAAGUUGGUAAAUUGCAAUUCAUUAGUAAGGUUCGUGCAAUGAGCUUAAUUCUCUUAAUUAGAGAUUCGGCCAAUCCAUUUUGGGUAUGGACAUAUGGGACUGAGUGCUGAACUUCAAUGCCUAACGCCAUGCAAUAAUCAUUGAAAGCAUGUGAAGAGAAUUCAGCAGCGUUGUCCAUUUGAAUUGAUUUAAUUCGAUUCUCAGGAUAAUGAGCUUGCAAUUUGAUAACUUGUCUCACUAUUUUGGAAAAUGCAUGGUUUCGUGUAGAUGCAUCUAUUAGAACCAUGAAAUACCUAAAAGGUCCAAACAAUGAUUGGAUCAGACCACAAAUAUCGCCUUGAAUUCGUUCAAGGAAUUGUAGUGGUUCUGCUUGAAUUUUAAGAUAUGAGGGUCUUAAAAUUAGUUUCCGGGUAGCGCAUGCAGUGCACAUAAAAUCCGAAGAUUGUGGAAAUUUAGAUUCAUUUAAGUCAUGACCAUUGGAAUUGCAGAUAAUUUUCCUCAUCAUCCCACCGAGAUGACCAAGGCGAUCAUGCCAAGUUUGGAAUGCAUUUACAUUCUGAAAAAUUACCUUAAAUGCAACGUGUUCUACAGGUUUUAUGUAUGUGUAGUACAAUCCUGAUGAUAAAGAGAGAAUUUUCUCAAAUAUUUGUUUGCCAUAUCCUUUGUCUUUGGUAAAGAGGAGAUAUUGCUCUUUGUUAUCUUCAUAAGUUUCAAUGUGGAAACCGUUUUUGCGGAUAUCUUUAUAACCUAUGAGGGUACGAGUUGAAUCGGGAUAUAAUAAAGCAUCCUCAAUUACAAUUUGUGUACCAACAGGGAGGGUAAAUAUGGCACAUCCUAUGCCAGCGAUUACCGCAUCGCGUCCAUCGAUUGUUAAAAUAUCUCCAUUCAAUUUUGUAAGAGUUUGGAAAUACUUUAUUUCCCUAAGUAUACAGUUUGUGGUGCCACUGUCCACAAGGCACAUUUCCUCCACCAUUGGAUUGACUCCCGUAAAAAUCUAUAUAUUAAAAUGUGGAAUUUUCAGUUUAACGAAAAACACUUUAUUACAACAAUCUGAUGGAUGUAAACCAAUGCAAUAUCUAAAUGGAGUCAAUUGACUAGUCAAAGUCCUCGAACAUGUCGGCGGCGUAUUCGGUCAUCAUAUUCUCUGUGUCUAUGGAGUCCUGCGAUAGAUGGAAUUCCUUGUUGUUACUUGGUGCUCCUUGAACAUCUUGAGAACAACCAGCUUCCUUGUUGUUAUCAGGUUGAAGAUUGAAGUGAGCUUCAUAUCUUGCUCCUUGGGCAGAUCUGUUACGUUCCAUGGAUUGCAGGUAGAGGUUUACCAGAUGUCUUGGGGUGCGGCAUUUCUUGGUGACAUGCUUGUAGCAUCCACAUUUCUGGCAAAGUUUAGUUUUAUCAAACUUAUUCUUUGUUAUGCCCUUCCCCUUGUCUGAAUUUUGUGGCUUGUUCUUCUUGUUGUGGUUGCUCUUACCCUUAACGUUCUUGUUUUGGCCUUUGAAAGAACCAUUGAACUUGGUGUUUUUCUAAAAAUUUGCAUGUACUUCAGGCAGAGGAGCGGCCCCAACUGGGCGUGGUUGCUGCCUCGACGGGAGCCCAGUCCAUUGGCGAAGCGACGAAGGCCGGCAUCGGAGGUGCCUGGUAGGCUUGGUGGACGGCCGCGGGCGGGUUGCUUGGUCCUGCUUGAUCUGCUGCGGCAAGGCCAAGGUAAUCCUGAUCACCACGACGACCACGGCGGCCGUUGCCUGGGCCCCAAGGGUGAUAAAUUCUAGCCCUGUGUCAUCUGGCAAAUCGACGGAUUUCCCGUCACUUCUCUCUCGUCCUGUUCGUGCUCUGUUGGUAGAGGCAUGGCUGAUAAUGUGUAAGAAUUCAAGAGAAAAUUUGUAUUUAUUAAUUGUGGGCAACGCCCUAUUUAUACAAGGAUUUGGGGCGCCUCCGGAGAAGCAUCCGUUUACAAUAGCCCCUGUUGGCGUGAAAAAACGCCCGUACGGACAUGACAGAAUCCUAACAACAAUUAGCGCUAAUGACACCGGUUUAUUCUUAACAGCUACCGCACCAAAAUUUGCGAAUCAGUGAUGCUACUUGGACAAAUAGGAACUCCUAUUGUGUCACUAGUUUUUUGUGUGAAGGGACUGUUCGCUCAGCAUCCCAUUUGUGUUUUAGCCUGUCACCAUGAUAUAAGUUGGAACUAACAACUGCCCCGCUCAGCGUCCCCUUUGUGUUUUAGCCAUGAUUAACAAGUCACGAGUCGUAUCCUCUUUUACUGCUGUAAUUCAGGGCACUGUAGACAUGAAAGCGACUAGGAUACUCUUUGCUGUGACCGUCAGACCAUACGGUUUUGCUUAUGUGGUUUGACCUUUGGCAGGUAUUGAAUGAUUAACAGAUGCAACCACAAGAAGAGGCAUAAGAGACGAGAUGAGUAACAGAUUAUGAGAAAAUUGCACUCGUCUUAUUGCUGCAUUCUACCAGUCUAUUCCGCACAUCUAUAAAAGACUUCAAAAGAUCUUCCAGCUAAAUACAAUGUAAACAAGAUGACAUUUUAACAGGGCAACGGUCAAAGCUGACCAUAAAGAAAAACAAUAUUAUGAACAUCAAAUAGUUGGUGUCUGUUUAAACUCCCACUCACUGCACAUUCUUUGCAGUAACUUGUUUGCAAUGCAAUGAUUCUGGUAGAUCUCGGCCAUUUCCCAACAAAUAUCGAGAACCUCCUGGUAGUGCCUAAGGCUGAUGCUUCAUGUUGCCAACUAGUGGGAUCUAGCAGACUGUGGAACAAGCACGCACACAUUCCCACUUGCCUAUUGCAACUCCCGUACUAUCUGUACAAAUACCCAGCAGCGAAUGCACAAGUGCGGGAAUGACUGAUUAACCAAAUCCAAACCCUUCAUUUGCCUCAUGAAUAGCCAAUAGCAACCUCUCCUGCAGCUGGUCUUUGGAUGUGUAUUCAGGCAAGUCCAGUUGGUUAAAGCUGCAGCAAGCAGAAGCAGAAUAGCAAAUCAGUAUAUACCUAAAUGAAACAAUUAUGGUUGCUGACAAGUCAAAAGCAUAACGGACUAGUGAAGAUUGGUUACCAAGUAUGAGCUGAGGGCAGAUGGUUGGUGCUGCCGUAUGCCUUGUGUAUCUGGAACCUUUGUGGCCCAGAUAUUCCUUGGAGCGCACUGAAACCCUCCAAAGGUACCUGCGGUUCAGUUCAAAGCGGGAUCAGGAGUUAACAGGUACCCUAGAACAAAUUUUCAUAAACAAUAAUAGCUUCACAAUUUAAAAGGUCGUGCUUUCACCAAAUACCUUUGAAGUGCCAGUAACGAACUGGAGAAAUCGAGCUUUGUCCUCCUUGCUGAAACCUUGUACAAUUUCCCAGAACCAUUGAAUAACUGGUGAAGCUAUGCUGUAGCCAGAAUACUCGGUAUUUGCCUUUAGGUCGUCCACUGAAAGCAGAUGUACAAAAUAAGUAGAGCACAUGCAAGAUCUAAACGGAUCAUUAUAGAACUGAAUUAACUCUUUCAACUCACAGUCAAUAUCAGGGAGUCCACUGAUUAGCAGUUCAAACUCUUUGUCGUUAAAAAUGGAUAUUAGCUCGCGAGGAAUGAGCUCAUUAAAUCCUUCCAUGAAAGCAUUAAUCUGAGGCCUAAUUGCAGUGGUUAAACGAUGCUCUGCUACCCUAUCCACAUAUUCAUGCUUGUUCUCCUCGGUGACCCUAAUGUUACGCCCUCCAGGAAUCAACUCACAAUCAGUUACCUGCAUAGAGUUGGUACUUACAGUCACCACAUUAACCAAAGAGAGAAAGGAGCAAAACAGAGAGAAAGGGGGGGAGAGGGCGUACCUCAGCUUUCUCAUAUAAUAU
rnacentral:lncRNA from 1 species